GACGAACGCUGGCGGCGUGCUUAACACAUGCAAGUCGAACGGAAAGGCCCUGCUUUUGUGGGGUGCUCGAGUGGCGAACGGGUGAGUAACACGUGAGUAACCUGCCCUUGACUUUGGGAUAACUUCAGGAAACUGGGGCUAAUACCGGAUAGGAGCUCCUGCUGCAUGGUGGGGGUUGGAAAGUUUCGGCGGUUGGGGAUGGACUCGCGGCUUAUCAGCUUGUUGGUGGGGUAGUGGCUUACCAAGGCUUUGACGGGUAGCCGGCCUGAGAGGGUGGCCGGCCACAUUGGGACUGAGAUACGGCCCAGACUCCUACGGAAGGCAGCAGUGGGGAAUAUUGCACAAUGGGCGGAAGCCUGAUGCAGCAACGCCGCGUGCGGGAUGACGGCCUUCGGGUUGUAAACCGCUUUCGCCUGUGACGAAGCGUGAGUGACGGUAAUGGGUAAAGAAGCACCGGCUAACUACGUGCCAGCCGCCGCGGUAACAC
rnacentral:rRNA from 1 species